rnacentral:rRNA from 1 species
GACGUAGGGCGCGAGCGUUGUCCGGAUUUAUUGGGCGUAAAGAGCUCGUAGGCGGCUUGUCGCGUCGAAUGUGAAAUCUCAGGGCUCAACUCUGACAUUGCAUUCGAUACGGGCAGGCUCGAGUUCGGUAGGGGAGACUGGAAUUCCUGGUGUAGCGGUGAAAUGCGCAGAUAUCAGGAGGAACACCGGUAGCGAAGGCGGGUCUCUGGGCCGAUACUGACGCUGAGGAGCGAAAGCGUGGGGAGCGAACAGG